rnacentral:tRNA from 1 species
GGGUCUGUGGGGUAGCAUGGUUUAUCCUAGGCGGUUCGGGACCUCUUGACCCCGGUUCAAAUCCGGGCAGACCCACCA